AUGGCCAUAUCACAUUGAAAUACCAGUUUUCAUCAAAUCACUGAAGUUAAGCAACAUCAAGUCUGUUCAGUAUCUAGACGGGUGACCUCUUGGAAAUACCAGGUGAUGU